GAAGGAUCUCAUUAUUUAAUAUAGCAACAUAAAUAUGAAUCUUCUUUCUUGUCGUGAGAAGAGUAGAGCACUAUAUAACAACAUCCACAAUAGAAUUUACCAUCAUCUUCUUGUCAUGGUGCUGAUCAGACUUUUUUUUUCAGGGCACUUCCAGCAAAGGAGGGAGUUACCUCAUUUUCAAGGAGCAUUUCUGCUAGCAUCGUUGAACAAAUAUUUUGUUGCUUUAACAAUUCUGCAAUGUACCAAGGAAAAAAUUAAAACAACUUAAAACAAAAACACAACAAAUUGUGCCACAACCGUAGGAAGGAACCAUAGGUCAAAGAGAACAGAGGGUGCCCAACGAUGUAAGUCUUCUGGUUUUUUUAUUUGCUAAAUAGAUUUUGCAUUUUUCUUUAUCCAUGUUUACCAAUUUCAUCCUUAAUAGGCAUUUCAAAAAACCUAUUCAUCCUAAAAAACAUAGCAACAAUUGACAAUUUGAUAUUCAUGCACACACUUUUAGAUACUCAACCAAAUUGAGAAAGAAAAAAUCAGAAUAAAACUAACCAGAAUCAAAAAUCAUAGAAGACAUCAACAAACUGGAGUCAAGAUGGAAAACUUUGAUACGAUCUCAAAAGCUACGGCCGAAAAUAGGAGAAACAAAGAAAUAAUAUAUUUGGGAUAUCUUUGAAAACUAAGCGAAAAGGAAGAGAAACCUGUAAUGGGGCACUGGAAAAGAAAACAAACCCAAAUGAGCGUCCAUCAGAAAUAAAAUAAAUAAAUAAAUUAAAAAAAAAGGCGGAGUAGACGCUCAAAUUCUCGGUGCUUGGAGAUGGAAACCCAGAUUCUUCACAUAUAUUUAUUUUUUUAGCCUCCAUUUGCAGUUCGACAGGGAGAGUUUGGAGGGAGCACAUGAAAGUUCUCGAAGAGACGGGCAUGAAACUUGAAAAUAAGUGGAAUGAGA
rnacentral:lncRNA from 1 species